rnacentral:rRNA from 1 species
UGCUGACGAGUGGCGGACGGGUGAGUAAUGUCUGGGAAACUGCCUGAUGGAGGGGGAUAACUACUGGAAACGGUGGCUAAUACCGCAUAACGUCGCAAGACCAAAGAGGGGGACCUUCGGGCCUCUUGCCAUCAGAUGUGCCCAGAUGGGAUUAGCUUGUUGGUGAGGUAACGGCUCACCAAGGCGACGAUCCCUAGCUGGUCUGAGAGGAUGACCAGCCACACUGGAACUGAGACACGGUCCAGACUCCUACGG